ACUUUUUAAUAUUUUUUGUUUUUGGGUAUGAAGAUCGUCGUCGUUCAUUAAUAUUAUUCUGCUUAUAAUUUAGGUGCACACAAAAUCACAAUUUAUUCAGUGAACAAACAUAUUAUCCUUAUCUACAUAUCAGGACAGCGGUUGAAAGAUUUCAAGUUCAUGUAAAGUGUUGAAGCUCCAAAAAUCCCAUAUCCAGAAGAUCGGCUCUUUAUGGCAUUUUGCUUGCCCAUCACCGGUAUAAAUAUGGACAAUCAUACCCUAAAUAUACUGUCGGAGCCUAACGUCAAGCUAGAACUGUCCUCCCCAUCCAUCAACAUCAACCAGGAUCUACUUAAACCUGCCGCACCUCGAGAUAACAUGUUCUCUCUUAGUUUUCAGAACAUUGCAGAAAAGCACUCGCCCCUGCUCAACUUAUCUCAACCAGCCAAUCUUCUGAAUUUCAACAGUGACGAUAAGAACAGGAAUAUUAUGAUAAGUCAGAGCAGCUCAGAGCAGAAUCCUACUUUAUCAACUCUUCUGAAUCUGUCCCACUUCGCCAGUCCUACCUCACUGAGCCCCACUGUUACCUCGUCUCUACUGCAAGCUUCAAACUUAUCACUCCUAUCAAAACUGCCCUUCUUGAACCAGACAAAACAAUUAGAUCAUCCUAAGACCUCGCAAUCCCCCUCAACAGUGCCUACAACAUGCCUCCCAUUGCCGAUACCCUCCAACCUUCCACUCUUUGGAGCUAUCAACUCCCAGAUUCUCAGCUACCCAACCUCUCCUCAGUCAAUACCUGAUCUCCUGGCCAGUCUAGCAGCAGCAAAGUCUUGUGAGGGUUCCGUCGCAAAUAUGGAAUCAUCUGGGUUGGCUGCAGAAACACUGGCGAAGUUUACUAGCAACGGACUGGUCAGUCCUAACUUGUCGAGUUUGCAGAUCCCUGAUCUGGCUUCCAAUAUAAAGCUGGAUUCUCAAAAAGACAUCCCAUUCCCAGCAAAUGGAAAUGAUGACUACAAGCACAAAACUGACACAGUUUCUAAUGUCGCUAACAUCAUGUCGAACAGUCUGAACGGCCAACUGGAGAUCAACAAGCAGCUCAUGACUUGUCUAACUGUAGCGCUAGAAGAGAUCAAAGAACUCAGGAGACAACUUUCAGAUAGAGGGGGAACAAACCAAACAGAUGUUAAAACCCCACUACACGCAAGAACAGGGAAUGAAGUGUUCAGUCCGUCUCAAGAUAGGAACUCAACAGAUUGGGAUUCUAACGAUAACAUCUCCACCCCGGGCUCGGCGUCCCCAAGUCCAUUCACCACGGAAUCUCAACAAACUUCAAACCAAAUGAUCGACAUCAAGAGUCUUCUGAAGCUAGGAGAGAGCAAGGAAUGGGCGAUACCGGUGAUAAAGCCUUUAGAUCACAUGCCCUUGGGAGCCAAGAGAACACGUGCUGGGGAUGCUAAGCUGAAGAGCAACGUUCCAGCUGCUUGUAGGUCGAUAGUGAAGAACGUGUACAGAGAACUUGUCAGAAGGGAAGCGAUCAACGCUUUCGACCUGCACCAAGGGCAAGAGAGUGCUCACAAUGUAAAAAUAUAUUGGCAAGUGAUCGAGUACAUGAAGAAAACUACCAGUAACUGCUCCUGGGAGGAGGCUGACAUGUUGUACGCGAUCAGAACAUAUUGGCGAAGUCUACGCGACGACAGACAGCGGGAAUUGAGUGGUAAGAAGUACAACCACCGUAGGAUGAUCAUCAGAAGAGAGAUCAUGAAACGGAAAUUGAAGUCCAGGCAGAAAGCGAUCAAUUUAGUGAGUUGGGGUACCGAGAUGAAGCAGUUGUUUGCAGAGACACUCACUCUGGAUUACAUGAGCAGUGAGGAAGAGGACAACACAGUAGAAUCACGAGAAGGUCCCCGACCGCGGGUGGUAAGGAGACUCCCCUGGUCCAGUCCCACCCUCAAACAGUGCAAAGCAGAUCUAGACUCUGAGUUCAAGAAGAUCUGCAGUGCAAGACAGCUGAAGGCAACAGCUCAUGUGUAUCGUAGAGACCAGGUGAUUAGUGUCAGGCCUCAACCUGUUACCUGUCCUCAGUGGGCCGCUGACCCUAACUGGGUUCCUGAAAACCUGAACGACUCAACAGAGGAAAAGAAAGAGAAAGUAAGCAGACCCUCGAUGUUAACAUACGAUCCCUCAUCCCCAACAGCCACUACCUCUCAUUUACUUGGACUCAGUGAUGAGAUCUUGAAAACAUUUAGGGAUCCUAAUCUUCUCAACAAUACGGAUUCAACUCAAGGGAACGAACCUAAGAAAGAUGAGGUAAUCGUGGACUCAACCCAGAAAAACAGUUCCUUGUACAACAUCUACCCUUUAACAGGGGGCCUCUCUCAGACUACCGUCUCCACAGCAGACCCCUCAAUACCCGUCUCAGCAACUCCCUCAACAGAAGUUAUCAACUCUACAACAGUCACUCUCUCUGUACUACCCGUCAGUGGGAAGGACGAGUCAAGUGAUACCAUGGUGACGAGCGAGCAGCAGAUCACAUCUCAGUUACCUGAUCCCGCCCCACAGACCAGGGCAAGUUACGAUAAGGACCUUCUGUCUUCGCUGUCUGAAGGGGACAAGGCACUGUUUGAGAGUGUUGUUGAAACACUGGCGGAAUCUGAUCCCAGGGUCAGGGAUCUCAACCCAAUAGAUGUGAUUAUGUCUCUCAACAUGACAUCUGAUUCCCUGGGAGGGUUACUAGGUGGGUCUCAACAUAACAUCUGAUACCCUGGGAGCCGGGAGGGUUACUAGGUUGGUCUCAACGUGACAUCUGAUACCCUGGGACGGUUGCUAGGUGGGUCUCGAUAUGACAUCUGAUACCCUGGGAGGGUUGCUAGGUGGGUCUCAACAUGACAUUUGAUUGUGAUGUAGCAUGAUACUGAUAGAGGAAAGGUACAGAUUGCAUAAGAUGAUACAUUUUGGGAUUUAUUGUUCUGUAUAUUGAGCUUGUAAAUUAAUUUUACUUUUAAAGUUUCAACAGCAUUAGCCAUAAUAUUUGUGAUUUGGCUAUGAUGCUGUAACUAUUAUUUGUUUGUUUUUAAUUACACGAGAUGUUGUGUUGACUUAAAUUUAAUAUUUAUUAACCAAUUGAAUUUUGUUAAUCUUUUACGGUCACGAAUUUUCAAGAUUUGAGAUAGCUGAUAUUUGAUAAGUGACGAUAGAUUUGUGGAUACAAAAUUUUUCAUUUGACUUAUAGAUCAAAGUGGUCGUUUCCUUUUAUUUGCGAAAGUAGAAUGAAAAUAAGUUAAGUAAGUUGAAUGGUAGGAACCGACAAAAAUAAAAUAUUUUUAAAAUCAAAAAUUCAUGCUCUG